rnacentral:misc_RNA from 1 species
GAAUAAGCUUGGUUGGGUUGUUGCUGGCUCUUAGGGGCAUGUGCACGCCUAACACCAAUCUUCUUACCACCUGUGCACCUUUUGUAGACUUGGAUAUCUCUCGAGGAAACUCGGUAUGAGGACUGCUGUGCGUCAAAGCCGGCUUUCCUUACAUUUCCGGUCUAUGUCUUCAUAUACACCAUUUGCAUGUCUACGAAUGUUAUUAUCGGACUUGACUGUCCAAUAAACCUUAUACAACUUUCAACAACGGAUCUCUUGGCUCU